rnacentral:rRNA from 1 species
AUUGAACGCUGGCGGCAGGCUUAACACAUGCAAGUCGAGCGGAGAUGAGGUGCUUGCACCUUAUCUUAGCGGCGGACGGGUGAGUAAUGCUUAGGAAUCUGCCUAUUAGUGGGGGACAACAUUCCGAAAGGAAUGCUAAUACCGCAUACGCCCUACGGGGGAAAGCAGGGGAUCUUCGGACCUUGCGCUAAUAGAUGAGCCUAAGUCGGAUUAGCUAGUUGGUGGGGUAAAGGCCUACCAAGGCGACGAUCUGUAGCGGGUCUGAGAGGAUGAUCCGCCACACUGGGACUGAGACAAGGCCCAGACGCCGACGGGGGGCGGCAGUGGGGAAUAUUGGACAAUGGGCGGAAGCCUGAUCCAGCCAUGCCGCGUGUGUGAAGAAGGCCUUUUGGUUGUAAAGCACUUUAAGCGAGGAGGAGGCUACCUGGAUUAAUACUCUAGGAUAGUGGACGUUACUCGCAGAAUAAGCACCGGCUAACUCUGUGCCAGCCGCCGCCGUAAGAC